UCCGUAGGUGAACCUGCGGGAGGGAUCAUUA
rnacentral:rRNA from 1 species